CAAGCAAUUAGACGAACCUCGAUGAUGGAAAAACUUAAAGUCAUUAUCCUUGGUCAGCACAGUGGCCUCAAGAUAC
rnacentral:sRNA from 1 species